rnacentral:lncRNA from 1 species
GAGAAGGGCUAUAAAUGGGCGCUGGGUUCGGCCGCCUAUCCAGUUGCUGCUCAGGUGCUCCCAGUUGCGGAGCUAGCACGCCCGCCAGCCCGCCCCUCUUCCCGGCCUCUCCACGCGGAAAGCAGCUGCUAGGGCGCGGCGUCGCCCCCGGACCUGAGAAGACCGCUGCCUGCUUGCAGCGCGCGGGCCCGCCCAGGCCGUUAGCGUCUCGGCGCCAGUUCGCGGGGCCCCGGGCCGCCUCGGAGCCAUGAGCUACGGCCGCCCGCCUCCCGAUGUGGAGGGCAUGACCUCCCUCAAGGUGGACAACCUGACCUACCGCACCUCGCCCGACACGCUGAGGCGCGUCUUCGAGAAGUACGGGCGCGUGGGCGACGUGUACAUCCCGCGGGACCGCUACACCAAGGAGUCCCGCGGCUUCGCCUUCGUGCGCUUCCACGACAAGCGCGACGCCGAGGACGCCAUGGACGCCAUGGACGGCGCCGUGCUGGACGGGCGCGAGCUGCGGGUGCAGAUGGCGCGCUACGGCCGCCCGCCCGACUCGCACCACAGCCGCCGCGGCCCGCCGCCCCGCAGGUACGGGGACGGCGGCUACGGCCGGCGGAGCCGCAGCCCUCGCCGCCGCCGCCGAUCGCGCUCCCGGAGUCGCAGCCGGUCCCGCUCCCGCAGCCGCUCGCGCUACAGCCGCUCCAAGUCGCGCUCCCGCACGCGCUCCCGCAGCCGCUCCACCUCCAAGUCCCGCUCGGCGCGCAGGUCCAAGUCCAAGUCGUCGUCGGUGUCCCGGUCCCGCUCGCGCUCGCGCUCCCGGUCCCGCUCCCGAAGCCCGCCGCCAGUGUCCAAGAGGGAGUCCAAGUCCCGCUCGCGGUCCAAGAGCCCGCCCAAGUCUCCGGAGGAGGAGGGCGCCGUGUCCUCGUGAGCACAUGAUGUAUCCGAAAGCAGCAUAACAGAGGACUUGGGGAAAAAAGGACUACAUACUCAGUCCAUCGGUCCAUCGAAGAGUCCUUGGAACAAGCAACUGGCUGUUGAAAAGGUUAUUUUGUAACAUUUGUCUAACUUUUUACUUGUUUUAAUCUUUGCCUCAGGUGGCAAACUUCAUUUUAUGUGCCAUUUUGUUGCUGUUAUUCAAAUUUCUUGUAAUUUAGUGAGGUGAACGACUUCAGAUUUCAUUAUUGGAUUGGAUAUUUGAGGUAAAAUUUCAUUUUGUUUAUAUAGUGCUGACUUUUUUUGUUUGAAAUUAAACAGAUUGGUAACCUAAUUUGUGGCCUCCUGACUUUUAAGGAAACGUGUGCAGCCAUUACACACAGCCUAAAGCUGUCAAGAGAUUGACUCAACAUUGCCUUCAUUCCUUAAAAUUAAAAACCUACAAAAGUUGGUGUAAGUUUGUUUAUAUGUUAUUUACCUUCAGACCUAAAUGGUAAUCUGAAUCCAAAUUUNUGAGCGCGGAGGGCGGGCGGGAGGGAAAUGGCGGCGGCGGCGGCGUAAUGGCGGCGGGGCGGGGCGCGGGAGGCCUGGGGCCGCCGCUCACCGCGCCCUCCCUCCGCCCGCAGCCCUCGCCGCCGCCGCCGAUCCCGCUCCCGGAGUCGCAGCCGGUCCCGCUCCCGCAGCCGCUCGCGCUACAGCCGCUCCAAGUCGCGCUCCCGCACGCGCUCCCGCAGCCGCUCCACCUCCAAGUCCCGCUCGGCGCGCAGGUCCAAGUCCAAGUCGUCGUCGGUGUCCCGGUCCCGCUCGCGCUCGCGCUCCCGGUCCCGCUCCCGAAGCCCGCCGCCAGUGUCCAAGAGGGAGUCCAAGUCCCGCUCGCGGUCCAAGAGCCCGCCCAAGUCUCCGGAGGAGGAGGGCGCCGUGUCCUCGUGAGCACAUGGUAAUGUCGGCGCCGCCGCCCGCCCGGCUGCGGAGGGCUGCGCUGGGCGUGUCGAGGGGUCGCAGGAGCAUGAGUGUGGCGCUUAGCUGAGUGGCUGUUCGUAAGCUGUUUGAGACCUAUUGAUGAAAAUGACUAUUUCUUGCUGUUUUUAUCCAACGUCUGCAUUUUCCCCCUUUAAAGCUGCGGUCUCCUGUUUGAUAAAAGAAUAUUGGCCAGUAUUGCAGAUUUUAACUGAUUUGGCUGAUCCUCCAGGGACCAGUUUCUGUGGGCGUGUAUUGGAGCAGGUUUGUCUUUAAACGUUAAAGAUGCACUAUCCUCUUAGAGACAAACGAUCAGUUCAACUAUUGUUGUACUGAUGGGACUUCGUAUUCUAAUGGAUGUGGCAAACGAAUUGCAAUUAAGAAGCAAUGAACUUUUUGGAACCCCAAAAGAAAGUUUAUGCAGGUAUUGCACGGGGUGGGGAAAGGAUAGUGUGUCUUUAACUCUCAAAUUGUUUGGUCCUGUUUUUUAAAAGGAAAGGGCCCUGAGUAGCUCAAUAAAGACGUUAAUCUCAAUUGCGAAAUGUUUUAUUUGAAAAUAAGUUACUUAAAGAAUACAAUAAUUUCCCGAUUUCCAGUUUUUGUUUGGAUACAGCCCUUUAUUUUU